rnacentral:misc_RNA from 1 species
AAGUCGUAACAAGGUUUCCGUAGGUGAACCUGCGGAAGGAUCAUUACUAUAGGGCUUCGGCCCUUCAAGAUACACCCUUGCAUUUUGUACCUCUGUUUCCUCGGCGGGCUCGCCCGCCACGGGGACCACCAAACCCAUCUAUGUUAUAGUAAACGUCUAAAACAAAAUAAUCAAAACUUUCAACAACGGAUCUCUUGGUUCUG